GCCUUCGUGGUGUAGUGGUUUGCAUGCUCGACUUCGGAACCGAGAGGUCCGUGGUUCGAUUCCCGGCGAAGGUG
rnacentral:tRNA from 1 species